GUAUUGGGGAUAUAGCUCUAUGGUAGAGCACUUGCUUGGCAUGUGCAAGGCCCUGGGUUCAAUUCCCAGCAAAACA
rnacentral:tRNA from 1 species